GAGUUUGAUCCUGGCUCAGGACGAACGCUGGCGGCGUGCCUAAUACAUGCAAGUCGAGCGAGCUUGCCUAGAUGAUUUUAGUGCUUGCACUAAAUGAAACUAGAUACAAGCGAGCGGCGGACGGGUGAGUAACACGUGGGUAACCUGCCCAAGAGACUGGGAUAACACCUGGAAACAGAUGCUAAUACCGGAUAACAACACUAGACGCAUGUCUAGAGUUUGAAAGAUGGUUCUGCUAUCACUCUUGGAUGGACCUGCGGUGCAUUAGCUAGUUGGUAAGGUAACGGCUUACCAAGGCAAUGAUGCAUAGCCGAGUUGAGAGACUGAUCGGCCACAUUGGGACUGAGACACGGCCCAAACUCCUACGGGAGGCAGCAGUAGGGAAUCUUCCACAAUGGACGAAAGUCUGAUGGAGCAACGCCGCGUGAGUGAAGAAGGGUUUCGGCUCGUAAAGCUCUGUUGGUAGUGAAGAAAGAUAGAGGUAGUAACUGGCCUUUAUUUGACGGUAAUUACUUAGAAAGUCACGGCUAACUACGUGCCAGCAGCCGCGGUAAUACGUAGGUGGCAAGCGUUGUCCGGAUUUAUUGGGCGUAAAGCGAGUGCAGGCGGUUCAAUAAGUCUGAUGUGAAAGCCUUC
rnacentral:rRNA from 1 species